AUGUGUAUCACAAUUUUAAAAAUCUGCCUCCCGUUUGCGCGGUGGGAGCUAGGCCCAUGCAAUGCACAGCACAACCGGCUUGGUCCUCCAUGUUUUUCUUCUUCUUUUGGGGCACCGACGCCCCAUGUCUUUAUACCCCCAGCUUGCAGUUUUCAGGUUAAUUUAAUGUCGUUUUUCGUUGAUAUUUUUCCUUGCGAUGGUCUGCUUGCCAUGCCCGGACAGCAAAAAGAUGAGGGUUCGAGUCAUUGUAUAUGGAGCCAGAGACGCAAAGUUCCCAGUUAUUAUCCUCUCCAAGAUGAUCCCGGGAAAAUAUUGCUGAUGAAUGAUGAUGCAGAAUCACAGAGUUGCGGUGGGCACGAUGGUUCAUAG
rnacentral:rRNA from 1 species